rnacentral:rRNA from 1 species
CUUGAACCUUAGUGGAGACACUUUGGGCUCUUCGGAGCGUAGGACACAGGUGCUGCAUGGCUGUCGUCAGCUCGUGUCGUGAGAUGUUGGGUUAAGUCCCGCAACGAGCGCAACCUCGCCUUUAGUUGCCAUCAUUUAGUGGGCACUCUAAAGGGACUGCCAGUGAUAAGCUGGAGGAAGGUGGGGAUGACGUCAAGUCCUCAUGGCCCUUACGGGCUGGGCUACACACGUGCUACAAUGGUGGUGACAGUGGGCAGCGAACACGCGAGUGUAAGCUAAUCUCCAAAAGCCAUCUCAGUUCGGAUUGCACUCUGCAACUCGAGUGCAUGAAGUUGGAAUCGCUAGUAAUCGCGGAUCAGAAUGCCGCGGUCGAAUACGUUCCCGGGCCUUGUACACACCGCCCGUCACACCAUGGGAGUUGGUUUUACCCGAAGGCGCUGUGCUAACCGCAAGGAGGCAGGCGACCACGGUAGGGUCAGCGACUGGGGUGAAGUCGUAACAAGGUAAGCGUAGUGCU